GUGGGGCAGGACCCUCAGUGAGGUACGGCUCUGGUGGGAUGCCCUGAGGUGGGGCAGGACCCUCAGUGAGGUACGGCUCUGGUGGGAUGCCCUGAGGUGGGGCAGGACCCUCAGUGAGGUACUGCUCUGGUGGGAUGCCCUGAGGUGGAGCAGGACCCUCAGUGAGGUACGGCUCUGGUGGGAUGCCCUGAGGUGGGGCAGGACCCUCAGUGAGGUACGGCUCUGGUGGGAUGCUCUGAGGUGGGGCAGGACCCUCAGUGAGGUACGGCUCUGGUGGGAUGCCCUGAGGUGGGGCAGGACCCUCAGCGAGGUACUGCUCUGGUGGGAUGCCCUGAGGUGGAGCAGGACCCUCAGCGAGGUACGGCUCUGGUGGGAUGCCCUGAGGUGGGGGGGACCCUCAGUGAGGUACGGCUCUGGUGGGAUGCCCUGAGGUGGGGGGGACCCUCAGUGAGGUACUGCUCUGGUGGGAUGCUCUGAGGUGGGGGGGACCCUCAGCGAGGUACGGCUCUGGUGGGAUGCUCUGAGGUGGGGCAGGACCCUCAGUGAGGUACU